CUGAGUACCGGGUCUCUCAGGCCCUUACUCCCACCCUUUGUGUACCUUACCACAUCUUCAGUUGCCUUGGCGGGAUCUUCCCCCCUCGGACCCUCUAAAACCGGGUCCUUGGGCGGGUGCCCGCCAGGGGAACCCCCUAAAACUCUUUUGAACCGGGUCGUCUGAGAACAAACAUAAAUAAAUUA
rnacentral:misc_RNA from 1 species